rnacentral:misc_RNA from 1 species
GGAAAGGACAUCUUCCAGUUUCAAAGACUUGAAAGAAACGUACCGCUGGCUUCAAUGCCCACCUUAAAUAAAAUAUCUCACCCAAAACAGUUGACUUCGUCUGUGGUUCAUUAAUCUAAUUUACAGAAAGUAAAUGGGUUUCCUUCCAAGUUAAGCACUUCAAUCGAAGACGAUGCAAGGGAGAGGGUAAUUAAUUAGAUCUCAAUAGCUACUUACAGGCCAUGGCAUACAUGGAUCCUGGAUUGUACAAAGCCGCAGCAGAAGGCAAUACUGAUACCUUGGAAACAUAUGCAGAAAGUCUAGACCUUGCACUGACACCAAAAAAGAACACAAUCUUGCAUAUCCAUUUAACCUCUCCCAGUAAGAAAUCUACCCAUUUUGUCAAACAGGCACUUCAAUUUUGUCCAAAGUUGCUGUGGCAAAUCAAUAUCAAUGGUGAUACCCCGUUGCACAUCGCAGCAAGGUAUGGGCAUUUCGAUAUAGCGAAAUUGCUAAUUGAACAGGCCAAUGUUCCCAAUGAAGAUCUAGAGAGUGGGAUAGGAGCCGCCAGACGGAUGCUGAGGAUGGUGAAUGUAAAGAAAGACGCAGCUUUACAUGAAGCUGCUCGAAAUAAUCACCUGAAAGUUGUGAAAUUGUUGACCCAUCUGGACCCUUAUUUUCAAUAUCCUGCCAAUGAUUGCGAAGAAACUCCACUUUACCUGGCUGCAAGAAAAGGGUACCUGUACAUGGUCAUUGAAAUGUUGAAAACUUGUCAAUCUCUGGCUUAUCUUGGCCCCAAGGGCAAAACGGCAUUACAUGCUGCAGUAUUGAGCCACAAUCGAGGUAUGUUCAUACCACUUCACACUUCUUCCAACAGGGAAAAACGUAGAAAUUAUUGAACCAAGUUGUAUCCUUGAUCUCCUUCAGGGAUUGUGUGUGAAAUACUAGAAAAGAAAAGGGAAUUGGCCAUCCAAGUAGAUGAAAAUGGAUGGACUCCGCUUCACUAUGCUGCAUAUGGCAUGGAUGAUUUAGGGGCUUGUGUUAUUGUGCAGAGGCUAUUAGAAUAUGGUAGAUCUGCUGCCUAUAUUGUGGACAACGUUAGAAAAAGGACAGCUCUUCACAUUGCAGCUUGCAGAGGAAAUGCACGCAUAAUGAGACAGAUUAUUUCUAAAUGCACAGAUUGUUGCGAACUCACCGAUGAUAGGAGCUGGAAUGUUCUUCAUUACGCUGUGAUUAGCAAAAGUGAUGAAGCCUUACAAGUAGUCCUCCGAAUCUCUUCGCUGAUUGAACUUAUAAAUGAGAAAGAUAUCAAAGGGAAUACUCCUCUCCAUCUACUUGCUGUUUCUCGCCCUUACUUGCCUUCUAUCAUUUGUGAUGGAGAAGAAGAUCUCAAUGCGUUUUACAAACAGCAUGUGCGCUCUAGAGACAACUUACUUGCAGACCUUCAACAACCAAAGGAAAGAAUUUUGGAGUGGAUGGAAGAUCUGGGUAAUGGACCAAUGGGCCAAAUUUGUAUCAACAAGAAACGCAGUUGGGAAAUACAAGAUUUGAGAAGCGGACCAAAGGAGGCAAAAGUCCUUGCUGAAUUCGAGAAAUCUAAAGACUCCUUUUUGGUAGUGUCAGGACUUGUAGCAACAGUAACAUUUGCUGCAGCAUUCACAUUACCAGGAGGUUACAAAAGCGACGAAAGAGACCCUGAUCAAGGCACUGCAAUUCUGAGCAAAAAUUCAGCUUUUGAAGUAUUUGUCAUAUCAGAUUCCAUAGCCAUGGUUCUGUCCACUUGUUCUGUUUUUAUUCAUUUUAUUGUGAUGCUGCUUGGAUAUCAAGAAAAAUACUGGUGGUUAAUCCGGUCUGCGCUUUUGUUCAUCAUGUUUGCCAUGGGAGCGAUGGUGGUUGCAUUUGCCACAGGCACAUAUGCAGUUCUAUCACCUUCCUUGGGGCUUGCUAUUGCCACCUGUUUCAUUGGCCUUAGUUUCUUUAUCUAUGUGUCUUACAUGCUGAAAAGGUUAUAUAGCAAACAUCUAGAAAAAGCCUACCUAGAAGCUGCAACGAGUAUCUCCAGAAUGUGGAUUAAAAUCAGGUUGUCAAGGCCCCUUCUAUCCUAGCAAACCCCAAGUUAUGUUUCAUUGCCCUGAGCUUUUUCUUCUAUUGGUUUUACAGUUCUACAACAAACAGCUAGGAAGAGUUUCUAUCCAUAGCAGCAAACACGUUUGGCAUUAUAUAUAUGUCAAACUGAAUCAAUAAAACCCAAUUCAUAAUUCAAUAUGUCAUUAAAUCAAACUUUAUUCAUCUUAUUUUUAUUUGUUUAAAGUUAUGAUUGAUAUCAUAGGCCUAUACUUAAUUUGAUCAAAAUCAUCUAUUGAUCAUAGGCCAAUUUCCUAUUUGACCCAAAAUCAAAGUUCUAU